rnacentral:rRNA from 1 species
UACGUAGGGGGCGAGCGUUGUCCGGAUUCAUUGGGCGUAAAGAGCUCGUAGGCGGUUCAGUAAGUCGGGUGUGAAAUCUCCGUGCUCAACACGGAGCGGCCACCUGAUACUGCUGUGACUCGAGUCCGGUAGGGGAGUGUGGAAUUCCCGGUGUAGCGGUGAAAUGCGCAGAUAUCAGGAGGAACACCGGUGGCGAAGGCGGGUCUCUGGGCCGAUACUGACGCUGAGGAGCGAAAGCGUGGGGAGCGAACAGG